rnacentral:lncRNA from 1 species
GAGUCUUCUAGAUGAUAGAAAAUUGUGCGGUACGUUAAUAUCUCUAUGUAAACCCGACAUGUGGGCCUUUCCUCCAUAUUUCCUGAUAACCCCUUGUAGAAAUAGACAAACACCAAAACUCGUGGAAUUCUGUCAGAUAAAACCCUAAGUAUGGGUGUUGGUUGUAUUUGGAUCCUUUUCUUUAUUUAUUUGAUGAUUAUAUUUGGUACUUAAGGAUCUUCAACAACUCCCCCAAGCUUACCUCUUGCUCGUCCCUGAGCAAGGAUGGACUCAAAAGUUUCUGCAGUGGUUUUAUGCCUUAAAGGUACACAUGCUUUCAAACAAGAUCUCAUCUCUGGGUUAGGGUAAACUGUUAAGAUUUAAACUUACUCAUAUUACCUUCCACCAUGGGCCUUGCAACCGUCACUUGUGUCUUGAGCAGUUAAAAGAUAGAACGGUCAAGUCAAGCGCCAUGUCUCUUGUUCUUUGAUCAACUAUAGCUCUAGAGUUUUUGUAGAUUUCAAAAUAAAACUCAGAGAUUCCUUGUAUGACUCUCUCAAUUCUCUCUUUUGUGGUAUUUCUGGAUCCUGACCAAGGCAGUGAUGGUAUAUGCCUUCUCUCAAAGUAUGUGGUAUUUGUGGUAUGAGGCAUAGUGACAUUGCUUUCUCUCUCACCCUACUCUAAUAAGGUUUUGAUAUCUGGAGCUCAUAGGUGGGAGACAGCUAAUACAUCCUUAUAAGACAUUUAUUGCAUAGUCAAACCAUGGAUCUAGAGAAACAAGUCAAUAAGUCAAAUCAAGAUGUGCAUGUGUGGCGAAUGAAUGGUGUAUGGUGAUGAUGGUGAAAACAAUGGUGAAAGUCUAAUUCUACUUUUGCUCUUUUGAGGGGAUACAUACCUUUCUUGCACUUUGAAGCUUUUUGAGGGGAAUGAGAUGCUCUAUAUUUUCUUUUUUUUCUCUCAGGUGGGUAUCUUGUACCCCUAAUUAUACUGUCGCACACUUGUCCAUUUUUACCUAUCAUCUCACUUUUUCUUUUCUUCGAGGUUUCGGGCACUUGCCCCUUUUUAUUUCCUCGUAUUCACUUCUUUUUUUUCAGAGCACUCACCCUCCUGGAAUAAUGUAGCAAGUGGGUAGCAACCAAAAUAUCUCGAGCAUUUAUUUCACGGGGAAUAACAGGGAUAAGAUAAUGUUUUUGGCUAUUCUCUCCUAGAUAGGAGUAGAAUUAUUUUGGGUAAACCUGGAGAUGGAAAUGAGUGGAUGUAUGUGGAUGCGUACUUCCGGAGUAGAAGCAGCAUGUAUGAGUGAACGUGCAAGUGAAUCUUGAUUUUAACCGCAUGAUAAGCUCCUAAGGGUCUACACAGCUUGACCACACUCAAUGCUCAUAUGAAGUAAAAAGCAAAUGUAUGGUUCAUAGUCUAAUAAGCAUGCAAAUAUGGCUGUGGUACGAUUUUAAACUCUCAUCAUACAGGAACUCAUCAUGCAACAUUUUAAAGAUUUUCAAAGAUAAAAUUCUCCAGAAUUCUAGCAUCUUUAGGAAUAGAUAAACAACAACUCAACCUUCCAUAUCAUAUCCGUUAACGACUUAGACUUUAGAUCAAGUACUCUUCCCACAAGUUCAGGUCUAGAGCAAAUCUUAAUUCAUAACAGUCAUGCCUAAACUUGAGAGAGAAUUUAAUUUUGAGAACUAGUCAUGGCAGAGCAACUAUUCAUCAUUUCUAUGUGAGAACUUAUCAUGAGGGUUCAUAGCUGUCACACCCAUAUUUUAAGAACAAAAUAGGAUGCAUAAAAGAUUCAUUUGUGCCCCAGAAACAGUCGCACACAUAAGUAGACAAAUCUCAAAUGUACCAUUGCAGUGUUUAUUACAUAGCGGAAUAUAAUAUAUCACAUAGUCUCAUACAAAAAAAAUGAU